UUAUGGCUGCGAUUAUAAGUUGUUUGUGAUUGAAUUUUAGAUGGAAACUAAUGAUGGUCGACAACAAUGGACGCAUGAGGCUAUCAAAUGCAUGUUAGAAACAUGUCUUGAAGAAAUAGGGAGAGUAGGUAGAAAUGGACAAAGCUUACAAAUGUUAUUGAACGUGCGUAUGGUGUAUUAAAAGCACGUUUUCCAAUAUUAAAGAAAAUGGCUCCCUUUUCGUUGGUUACGCAACGAAAUAUUACCGUUGCAUGUUUUGUGCUUCAUAAUUUUAUACGGAAAGGGGGUUUAAGCGAUGACCUUUUUGAUGAAUAUGAUCACCCAAAUGUACACCUUCAAGAUGGAGAUGAACAUGUACAAGAUGGUGGUGAAAAUAGAGAAGAAGAAGUACCACGACAUGGAAGUUCAGCGGACCGUGAAUUUAUGAGUCAACUUCGAGAUCAAAUAGCACAAGAAUUAAUGCAAAACAAUGUACUUUGAGUUUAUUUUACUAUUUUUUAGGUUAUUGAUACUUGGUGCUAUUAUGGUUUUUUUUUAUGUAACUUGAAUGUUAAAUGACUUUUAUCAACUAUGAUAAGUAUGAUAGUUAAAUAA